rnacentral:rRNA from 1 species
UACAGAGGUCUCAAGCGUUGUUCGGAUUCAUUGGGCGUAAAGGGUGCGUAGGCGGCGCGGUAAGUCGGGUGUGAAAUCUCGGGGCUUAACUCCGAAACUGCAUUCGAUACUGCCGUGCUUGAGGACUGGAGAGGAGACUGGAAUUUACGGUGUAGCGGUGAAAUGCGUAGAUAUCGUAAGGAAGACCAGUGGCGAAGGCGGGUCUCUGGACAUUACCUGACGCUGAGGAGCGAAAGUGUGGGGAGCGAACAGG